rnacentral:rRNA from 1 species
CGUCCUCACGGACCGCCGGGGGGUCUUUGUACCCCUUGGCCCGCGCUCGUCGACAGCCCCCAAAUUUAAAAAAUCUUAACUAAACGUGUCUUGAAUCUAAGUAUUAUUGUUAAAUAAAAACAAAACUUUCAACAACGGAUCUCUUGGUUCUGGCAUCGAUGAAGAACGCAGCGAAAUGCGAUAAGUAAUGCGAAUUGCAGAAUUCCAGUGAGUCAUCGAAUCUUUGAACGCACAUUGCGCCCUUUGGUAUUCCGAAGGGCAUGCCUGUUCGAGCGUCAUUAUCACCCCUCAAGCCCUCGGCUUGGUGUUGGACGGCUUGGUGGAGACCCCCUUUGCGGGCUUCUACCCCUCCCAAAGACAAUGACGGCGGCCUCGUUGGACCCCCGGUACACUGAGUUCUUCACGGGACACGUAUCGGACACAUGGGUUCACGGGACACGGUCUGCCUCCCCUCAGGGAGAAUCUUUUUUUAUCAAGGUUGACCUCGGAUCAGGUAGGGAUACCCGCUGAACUUAAGCAUAUCAAUAAGCGGAGGAAAAGAAACC